rnacentral:misc_RNA from 1 species
AAGAAGAAAGAGAAGAACCAUUACAACCAACAGCCAGUGCGGUAAAUAGCCCCCUUUUGUUUCACCACAUAUAUGAACAUGUAUUUCUCGCUGUUCAUAUGACAAUGUGAAAUAAAUAGCACACCUGGUCUCUGGCUUCGAAAAAGAUGACUUUCUGAUGUACUGCCAUGGACUAAAGAAAGUUUCCCCUUCGGCGUUUUGGAUCUUUAUUGUUGCUUGGUUGUCAUGGAGAACAUAGGUUUGGCAGUUUU